CCCUUAGAUGUUCUGGGCGGCCCGCGCACUACAUUGGCACUAGCAAAGAGAUCCUAGAUUGAAUUCUUUGGGGUAUUCUUCUAAAUGGUGUCGUGACUGGGAUAAAUCCUUGUAAUUAUUGGUUUUGAACGAGGAAUUCCUUGUAAUCGCGGUUUAUCAGCUCGCGUUGAAUGCGUCCCUGCCCUUUGUACACACCGCCCGUCGCUCCUACCGAUGGAUCGUCCGGUGAAGCUCACGGAGUGACUGUUCACGCAGCGGUUUACGAAGUGAAAUGGACCUCACGAUUUAGAGGAAGGAGAAGUCGUAACA
rnacentral:rRNA from 1 species